UGCAGCAGCAGCAGCAGCACCGGGACCAGCUACAACAUCUUGGAGUGGAAGGGGCCGUCUAUGUGCUGGAGUUAACAGUGGCUGCAACGCUCUGACAUCCACGUUGACAUUAUACAGCAAUCUUACAGACUACAAUCCACCAGAACAUCGGUUCCUUGGACUGGGCAAAAAUGUCAAUCACCGUGAUAAAUUUCCUACGAGAUCGCGGGGUCCCAGAGGAAGCUCUCACACUAAUGGAAGAGCAAAAGGUAUGUUGUGG